rnacentral:rRNA from 1 species
AGCGGCGAACGGGUGAGGAAUACAUGGGUGACCUACCCUCGAGUGGGGAAUAACUAGCCGAAAGGUUAGCUAAUACCGCAUACGACUCUCGGUCUGCGGAUCGGGAGGGAAAGCGAUACCAUGGGUAUCGCGCUCUUGGAUGGGCUCAUGUCCUAUCAGCUUGUUGGUGAGGUAACGGCUCACCAAGGCUUCGACGGGUAGCUGGUCUGAGAGGACGAUCAGCCACACUGGCACUGCGACACGGGCCAGACUCCUACGGGAGGCAGCAGUAAGGAAUAUUGCGCAAUGGGCGACAGCCUGACGCAGCGACGCCGCGUGGGGGAUGAAGGUCUUCGGAUUGUAAACCCCUUUCGGGAGGGAAGAUGGAGCGGGUAACCGUUCGGACGGUACCUCCAGAAGCAGCCACGGCUAACUUCGUGCCAGCAGCCGCGGUAAUACGAAGGUGGCAAGCGUUGUUCGGAUUCACUGGGCGUACAGGGAGCGUAGGCGGUUGGGUAAGCCCUUCGUGAAAUCUCCGGGCCUAACCCGGAAAGUGCGGAGGGGACUGCUCGGCUAGAGGAUGGGAGAGGAGCGCGGAAUUCCCGGUGUAGCGGUGAAAUGCGUAGAGAUCGGGAGGAAGGCCGGUGGCGAAGGCGGCGCUCUGGAACAUUUCUGACGCUGAGGCUCGAAAGCGUGGGGAGCAAACAGGAUUAGAUACCCUGUAGUCCACGCCUU